CCUCUCUGCAUGGGGGUCAGCUCCUGGUGGCCUCCUGCUGGAUUUUGUGGAUGUUCGAUGCAGAUUAUUUCUCUAAAGGGUGCCUGCUCCCCAGAUUCCCUUCUUUGCAGAGCACAGAGUCCCACUGGGAGGCCUCUGUGGCCUCUGGCCAAGGAGUUCCCCAAGCCUCCUUUUUCCCCAUCUGUAAAAUGGGGACUGGUCUGUGUCUCCCACGACUGUUGAAAGGAAGACUGCAGUGGUGCAAGUGAAGCCCUUGGUGAGGAGAAGUGAGUUGGUGAAGGGCUAGAAUCUGCAGUCGAACGGAAGCCGGCUCCUUGCACUGGGUCACUCACCCUUGGAAGUCGCCCCUUCUCUGAGCCUCCAUUUCUUGCUACAUAAAACGAGGGUCCCGCAAUACUCUCUCUAGUGGCUUCUGUUUUGUGCCAUGCUGCUAUUCAUAGAUGGCAGUGCUUUUUUUUGUUUGUUUGUUUUCCAUGAUGGAGUCUCACUCCGUCUCAAAAAGAAAAAAAAAUCCAC
rnacentral:lncRNA from 1 species